ACAAAACCGGUGCGAAAACUUUUGUUAAAUUAAAAAAAAACCCGGUUAUAAUUUAAUUUUCUUUCUCUCUGGAAACCCCUCGAUCUUUCCUCCUCUCUCAUUCUCUCUCCUCCAUUGAAGCGUACUCAUCUGCCUCUCUCUCCUUUCCUUUCUUCUCCUUUUCUAUCGGCUAUGCACCCUUCCCCGGUUUCAUUGUGGAUCUCUUCAGUUGUGCUCCAUCAAUCAAGGGUUUUGUUUGGCGGUGGUGGCUAUGGUGGCCUUAUUCGACCUAAAAUCGUUGGCUUCAUCUUCUUUUGUCAAAAACUCUUCAUGGUGGGUUCGGCUAUUGCGUAAUUGCGAAUACUCUUCCUUUUUUCAGGGUUUGUAAUGAAAUCAUUGGUUUUGUUUGUGUUUUUUUGAUGAAAUUAUCUUAUGGGUUGUUAUGUUUUGAUGUUUUUUUUAUGGGUAUCUUCUUUUUUCCUGUUUUUUCUCCUUAAUCUGAUUAUGGUUUGAUUAAUAUGAUUGUUGGACCUUAAAUUUUUGGUUUGUAAUGUUUUGCUUUGAUUUCAUCUUAUAGUGUUAAGAAAUCCUGCAAAUUUCGGAAGAAAAUUUGUAAUUUCAUGAAUAUCAUCAACAUUAGCAUAAGUUUGAAUUCAAUAGAGUUUCGAUCUUGGUAUUAAAAUGCCUUAAUUUCUGUUGCAAGAAUCUAAUUGGGUAUGUUUGGAGAUUGGGGGUUCUUGUGCUCUGCAUUGGAUUUUUUUUUAGUAAUUAAUUUGAGUAGGAAUUUUAUUUUUAAUAAUGGAGUGUUGGUUUUUGGAAUCAGGACCCAAUUUCCUUGUUUGAUAGCGUUUUGAAACUAAAAGGCUGCAGCAACCUAUUAUACCUUGAUUAGGGUUUUGAAUUUUUUUAUGUUUGUAUUAAGUGGUCUAAAUUUGCUCAUGUAUUGGUUUUUGGCUUAAUUUUGGUGAGUAAUUGUUGAACUUUGUAACAAGGGGAAGUUAGUGGCUUAGGUUUUCAAAAGCAUGUUGUAAAUGAACGAAGUGAGAAUACGACUGCUAGGUUAAAAUUCUGUUCUAUGGCUGAAGUUUAUGAUUAUUAUAAAACGUUUUGGACAGAAAGACGAGAACUUAGUUUAAAUUUUAAGAAGUUUUUCAAUUCUUAUUGGAAAUUUACUACCCUUUCUGCUCAACUUUUCUUUCCUAUAUCGAGAUAGUUAAAUGAUUUAUGGUGGCAAGGGCAAGGAUAUGGGGCACUCAGGAAGUCUGUACUAUUUAGUUUGAGUACUUGUAGAGGCUACUUUAGUAUUUGUCUACACUUAAUGGGGUCUAGAACUUGUUUUUAGCUGCUUGCUAUGUUGUUAGUGGGGUAGCAUUGGGGUCUUAAUCCUAGUAGCAAGCACUGAUUACAUUUUAUAGUUUGACUUAUUUCCUCAUACUUCAUCGAUAUACAUGGUUUAGGAAGAUCUGGAUUAGAUGUCCACCAAAAGACUUUAAUAUUAAUCUCUACAUAAUCUUAAACAAGGAAAGCUUAUGACAUUACUAAUGAAAUCUCAGACAUGGUAGCUUAAGUUGAUUAGUGGAGGUUCUUAUAUUAAUUUGGCUUACCAUUAUGUUCAAAUAGAAUUAUGCAUUUUGUUUUCUGAUUUACAAAUCCAAAGGAGCCUUACAUUUCACCCCAGAUAGUCCUAUUUUCUGUAUGUGCUGAUGAUGAUACUGUAUAAAAAUUUCAAAAAAAGUGUAUGUUCUAAUAGGAGAAAUAAGGUCUUUAAGCCUAAUUAAGUACACUCAUUUAUAUGUGCCAAGUAUAAUGACUGUUAAUUAGAGUAUAAAUUUUGAGUUUAAUUAUCGAACUUAUAUGCGGAAACCUCACUCAAAAUCUGAGGUGGACGGUAAAAUCAAGGGAACUAAAGGAGAAAAGGUAAAAAAAAAAUCAACUUUGCCGCAAGAAAAAGUAAGCACUGAUGCAAAUGGAGAGAAAAAUAAGAAGACACGGAAGCGAAAGCAGGCAAAUGGCCUCCGAUUUGAAGCAGAGAUGGAAAAGUUGGAUGGUGUUUCAACAAGAAAGCAGUAGAGGAAGAAAGAGUUUGAUCAUCUUUCCUAAAUGGCAUCAGCAGCCUCUAUAGCCUUUAUGUCAUAUUCUGAUUGCUGCCAGGGUAUCCAGCUACAAAAGGACAGAUUUCCAAUUGCAUAUAUACCUCAGGGAGCAUCGCUACUGCCAGCCUUGUCUUUCCUAUCUCUACACCAUCGAAAUCACCAGCGAAAUCAUAUAGGGCUUCUCAGAGCUACACGACGCCCUCCGGUAGUCUGUGCACGCCACCCCAAGAGUAAAUACUUACCCCAAGGUCAAAGUUAGCCAUCAAUCAAUCAAUUAUCAAGUUAGCCAUUGCUGUAAUUUUAUCUUUGAAAGUGUAAUUUUUAGAGUUAAUGCUGUCAAUAAAACAUACGUUGUAUUUAGCACAUUAAUGGUUAGAAUUACCAACUUGGACUAAAAUUAGGCAGCUGAUGAGGACUAAGGAUAUUUAUCUGAUGGUUAGAAUAUUAGAUUGGGCUUGCAGUACUAUAGUGGGAUUAUCUGAGCUAAGUGCAAUAUUGGAAACGAUGAAUUGUUGUUCAUUAGGGACCUGCUGCAAAAUAAAAUCUGGUCACGGUAUAUUUAUAU